AAGUAUCCCACCUGGGGACUACGGCCGCAAGGCUAAAACUCAAAGGAAUUGACGGGGGCCCGCACAAGCAGCGAGGUAUGUGGUUUAAUUCGACGCUACGCGAAGAACCUUACCUGGGCUUGACAUGCUUGAGAAAGGACCAAGAAACUGGUCCCCCCAUGACCGCAAGGUCAUGGCUCAUCCACAGGUGCUGCAUGGUUGUCGUCAGCUCGUGUCGUGAGAUGUAAGGUUAAGUCCUUGAACGAGCGCAACCCCUUUCGUCAGUUGCAAACCAGCAAUGGCGCACCCUGACGAUACUGCCAGCUAAAAGUUGGAGGAAGGAGGGGAUGACGUCAAAUCCUCAUGGCCUUUAUGUCCAGGGCUACACACAUGCGACAAUGGUCGGUACAACGGGUUGCAACACCGCGAGGUGAAGCCAAUCCCUAAAAACCGGCCUCAGUUCAGAUUGCAGACUGCAAUUCGUCUACAUGAAGAUGGAGUUGCUAGUAACCGCGGGUCAGCUACACCGCGGUGAAUAUGUUCCCGGGCCUUGUACACACCGCCCGUCAAACCACCCGAGUCUGUUGCACCCGAAGUUGCCCGUUGGGUGACGAAGGUGUGACCGGUGAGGAGGGUUAAGUCGUAACAAGGUAUCC
rnacentral:rRNA from 1 species